ACACGUCGUUAAAAUAAAUUAAAAUGUUAAAUAUACUGUAUGAAUGAAACAAAAACAUAAUAAAAAAAAUAAAACAAAGAACAGAGAAAAAAGAGAAAAUAAAAACAAAGAAAAAUAUGUAGAUCUUCGCACAUUAAGAUUUGAGUCUAGUAUAUUGCACAUUCCGGAAGAGAAAUAUGAACAAAGGAACUGUUCUUCAAUCUGAUUCACACAGUCAUUCAUGGAUUUUUGAAACGCCUCCUAUUUACCAACAAUCCCAAUUAAGAGCAAGAUACCAUGGGAGCGCAUUCAAUUGUAAAAUGUAUUGUUCAACUUCGCUGGAGGAGAGAGAGAGUCAAAUGAUAGAAAGGAUAUUUUGAAUUUAAAAUGUAUAAAAUGAUAGAAUUAUUUAAGAUCCC